rnacentral:rRNA from 1 species
AAUACUGGAUAUGAGCCUUCAUCGCAUGGUGGGGGUUGGAAAGAUUUUUUGGUCUGGGAUGGGCUCGCGGCCUAUCAGCUUGUUGGUGAGGUAAUGGCUCACCAAGGCGUCGACGGGUAGCCGGCCUGAGAGGGUGACCGGCCACACUGGGACUGAGACACGGCCCAGACUCCUACGGGAGGCAGCAGUGGGGAAUAUUGCACAAUGGGCGAAAGCCUGANGCAGCAACGCCGCGUGAGGGAUGACGGCCUUCGGGUUGUAAACCUCUUUUAGCAGGGAAGAAGCGAAAGUGACGGUACCUGCAGAAAAAGCGCCGGCUAACUACGUGCCAGCAGCCGCGGUAAUACGUAGGGCGNNNGCGNNNNNNNGAAUUAUUGGGCGUAAAGAGCUCGUAGGCGGUUUGUCGCGUCUGCUGUGAAAUCCCGAGGCUCAACCUCGGGCCUGCAGUGGGUACGGGCAGACUAGAGUGCGGUAGGGGAGAUUGGAAUUCCUGGUGUAGCGGUGGAAUGC